GAUUUCCCCCAAGGCAGAAGUGGGAGAGGGCUGCAUGAGGGCAGGGGCGGGGGUGGCAAUGAGCAAAGUCUGUACUCGGAGCUCAGCAGGGAGGAGCUGCUGCCCCAUCCUCUGCCCCAUCCUGUGACCUGUGAUCCGUCAGACCCGUUGGUCGUGCCAUGGGGAUGCCAGCAAGCGCUUGGCAGCUGCACGCGGUGUGGCAGAGAGUGUCUGUGUGAUUGUGAUGCCUUCCUAGGAGAACUUGGCCCCCAGAGGCAAGGCUGUCACUAAAAUCCCUCAGGCACCUUCUUUCCCUGAAAACAGCAAUAAAAUUUCAUUCGACCUUCUAAAUUUCAUUCUCAAGCCCCAGCAAGGAGCGGGCAGGUAGCUUCGUGAGCGGAUCCAUGGGACACAGGACGUCUUCCUUCGUUUCAGACUCGGCUUCCCCGCGGCCAGAGCCCAGCAGUCAAGCCAGUCAUUUCCAGGCGAAGCAGGACCUACCCUGGGGGCUCACACCCUACAAAUCCCUGAAUCCUCCAUCAUCCCUCCUCCCAGCCUCCUAGUGGGCCGCUCCAAUUUAGGAGGAUUGUAUUGUCUGGAAAUCAACCUGAUCUUAUCUGUAGCCUUUUGUCAAGAGGAAAUUUUUGUUGCCUGUUUUGCUCAGAGGUUGAAACUUGUAGUAUAUUAACUAAUUGCUUGCAUCACUAACACAUGUUCUCUUGUUGGUGUCAUUCAUUUAUACUGUAACAUUUUUGACAUUUUUAGAUUGUCUCUUGGGACUCCUGGGCCUCUUAGCAGUUCCCUCUAUGAAGAGUGUUUGCCUAAUGAUUACUGACUGACAUCUCAAUAACGAGCAGUAGGAGUUGGGUGCAUCUAUUGAAGAGUUCGGGGGGGGGGGGUGUAUGUGUGUGUGUGUUUUAAUUCAUGGUCCACUUUGUCAAGUCAUGUGUGAGCCAUAAUUUAAGCUAAUAAUUACCAGACAUGAAUUCAAU
rnacentral:lncRNA from 1 species